UACGAAGGGGGCUAGCGUUGCUCGGAAUUACUGGGCGUAAAGCGCACGUAGGCGGCUUUCUAAGUCGGAGGUGAAAUCCUGGAGCUCAACUCCAGAACUGCCUUCGAUACUGGAGAGCUCGAGUCCGGGAGAGGUGAGUGGAACUGCGAGUGUAGAGGUGAAAUUCGUAGAUAUUCGCAAGAACACCAGUGGCGAAGGCGGCUCACUGGCCCGGUACUGACGCUGAGGUGCGAAAGCGUGGGGAGCAAACAGGG
rnacentral:rRNA from 1 species